rnacentral:tRNA from 1 species
CGGGGCGUGGCGCAGCCCGGCUAGCGCGCUUGCAUGGGGUGCAAGAGGUCGUGGGUUCGAAUCCCGCCGCCCCGA